rnacentral:rRNA from 1 species
CCUACGGGAGGCAGCAGUGAGGAAUAUUGGUCAAUGGACGCAAGUCUGAACCAGCCAUGCCGCGUGCAGGAAGACGGCUCUAUGAGUUGUAAACUGCUUUUGUACGAGGGUAAACCCAGAUACUCGUAUCUGUCUGAAAGUAUCGUACGAAUAAGGAUCGGCUAACUCCGUUCCAGCAGCCGCGGUAAUACGGAGGAUUCAAGCGUUAUCCGGAUUUAGUGGGUUUAAAGGGUGCGUAGGCGGUCGGAUAAGGUAGAGGUGAAAUCACGAGGCUCAACUUCGGACUUGCCUCGGAUACUGUUCGGCUAGAGAGUAGUUGCGGUAGGCGGAAUGUAUGGUGUAGCGGUGAAAUGCUUAGAUAUCAUACAGAACACCGAUUGCGAAGGCAGCUUACUAAGCUGCUUCUGACAUUGAGGCACGAAAGCGUGGGGAGCAAACAGGAUUAGAUACCCGUGUAGUC